GAAAAGACUAGGUCCCCAUGUACCAAUAUGCAAACCAGACACCAGAAUGAGUUUGUUUCAGUUGGAGAAAGAAGUAGUACUAGUUAUCAGUCUCCUACAGAAUGUUCAGAUGGCCAAGUGCAGGAAAUUCGUACUAAUUUACCCUUGCAGCUUUUCAGUUCCUCUCCUGAAAGUGACAGCCCACCGAAAUUGGCAUCAAGCACGAAAUACUUCUCAUCAGGUAGCAGUAACCCUAUGGAAGAAAGGUCACCUUCAUCUUCUCCGCCUUUUGUGCAAAAGUUGUUUCCCACAGUUUCCUCAAGAGAAGCAGUAAAUCCCAAGAGAUUGUUAAAUAGACUUGAGUUUAAUGGGAGUUCUAAAGCUGGUAAGGAUAAAGGCUGCUCCACGUCUCUUGAUCUUUUUGGAGGGACGAAUAAAUGUGUUGACGAUAGUUCUGUUCAAAGUUUACCAUACCAGGCAGGGUACACAUCGUCUUCUGGAUCGGAUCAUUCACCUUCAAGUUUAAAUUCGGAUGCUCAGGUAAUAUAGAAGUAGAGACUUGUCCUGUUUUUGACAUCUAAUUUGAUAUCGCUCUAUCUUAUUAUUCAAAUUAAUGAGACGCUGACUACCUCUCAGAAUCGUUCUGGACGGAUAUAUUUUAAAUUAAUCGAUAGGGAUCCUAGUCAGUUACCUGGAAAACUGAGAACACAGGUAAGCCACAAUCUUUGUAACCUCCAACUGUUAUCUUAUAUUUGAUUUAUCCAAACAUAGGAUAAUUGAUUACCUUUUUGAUUUCAGAUCUUUAAUUGGCUUGGUCAAAGUCCAUCAGAAAUGGAAAGUUACAUAAGACCUGGUUGUGUAGUACUAUCAAUCUAUAUUUCUAUGCCGUCUUCUGCCUGGGAGCAGGUAAUUUAAAUAUUUUAGAGGAUAAAAUCAGCUCUUUUGUUUUAUGCAAAGAUUAUUCUUUUUGUUGUUUUGGGUAGUCUAUUGACUGCUGAAUAUUUCUUGUGUUUGCAGCUUGAAGAAAAUCUACUUCAAAACAUCACUUCUUUGGUUCAAGAUUCGGAAGAUCCAUUUUGGAGAAAGGGAAGAUUCUUAGUCAAUACUGGCAGACAGUUGGCAUCGUAUCAAGAUGGUGAGUGUUCUUACGAUCACAAUUACAAUAAUCAUACUUCUUGUUGGUUUUAGACAUGUGCUGGUAGCUUAUAUAGUUCCCUAAACGAAUUGAGUACAUAUGUAUUUAUAUUCAGUCACUAGCUAUCUUUGGCCUAAGUUGAUGUUAUCCAUCUACAGGAAAGGCUCACCUCCGUAAAGCUACGAGGGCAUGGAGUUUUCCUGAAGUAGUCUCUGUGUCCCCUUUGGCAGUUGUUGGUGGGCAGGAGACCACUAUAUUACUGAAGGGGAGAAAUUUGAGUGAUCAAUACACCAAGUGAGUAGCUUAUUCUUACCAUUGCAAAUGUUAAGUUUGCUAGUUUAACUAUAUUGAAAUUGAUUUAAUGCUAUUCUAGAGUUUUCUGCACGCACGCUGUUGGAUACAAGCUUGAGGAAACUUCUGGAUCAGCUUCCGAUGAUACUACAUAUGAUAGUAUAACUUUACGCAAUUUUACGGUUGCUGAUGAAGCACCUGGUAUACUUGGGAGGUGCUUCAUUGAGGUAUUGAUUAAUUAAUAAGCAAGUAAUAAAUUACAUCACCAUGCAUGUAUCUUCAAACAAGAUUAUAAUACUGCUUUCAUGAACAGGUUGAAAAUGGUUUUAGGGGCACCAGCUUCCCUAUAAUUAUUGCCAAUGCUACCAUCUGUAAAGAGUUAAACCUUCUGGAGUCUGCAUUUGAUAAAGUUGCAGCACCACGUGAUGCUAUCUCAGAGGAAUCAUUCCUUGAUUCUGGACGACCCAUAUCAAGGGAAGAUGUUCUACAUUUCUUGAAUGAGCUUGGAUGGGUACUCCAAAGAAAAAGAUACAUGUCCAUGUUUGAGGUCCCCGAAUAUAAGCUUCACCGUUUCAAAUUUCUGUUUAUCUUCUCAGUUGAACAUGACUUUUGUGCUUUGGUUAAAACCCUCCUAGACGUUCUUCUUGAAAUAUGUUUGGGUAGGGAUGAAUUGUCGAGAGAGUCGCUACAGAUGCUGUUAGAGAUCCACCUUUUAAAUAGGGCAGUUAAAAUGAGGUCUAGAAAAAUGGUAGACUUGCUGAUUAAUUAUUUUGUACCUACUGAUUCCGGAAAGACAUACAUCUUCCUACCAAAUCUUGCUGGGCCUGGCGGUAUUACACCUCUACAUUUGGCUGCAUGCAUGUCAGAUGCAAAUUCUAUGGUUGACACUUUGACAACCGACCCGCUGGAGGUGUGUACUUUUAUUAUUGUUUUUUGGUUUCUAGUUAUCUAUAUUUAAAAUCUCAUUAGUCAUGAUCCUUAUUCCUUGGCACCUCAUAAUACUCAAAAGAUAGAUUUUAGUUUCCCAAAAACUGUUGAUAAUUUCUUCUUUUUUUAAAAAAAAAUCCUUUAUAUGUGCCUCUGUUUUUGUCCAACUGUAGAUUGGUUUGCAUGGAUGGGAUUCCCUUCUUGAUGCAAAUGGCCUCUCUCCUUGUGCUUAUGCUCAGAUGAGAAACAAUCACUCUUACAAUGCGUUAGUAGCUCGAAAGCUUGUUGACAGAAAAAAUGGUCAAGUCUCUGUUCCGGUAGGUGAUGAGAUACAAGAACAAUCACUAAUUGCGGGUCAGAUCCACCAAGCUAGCUUUCAAAUCAGACAAGGGCAAAGAUCUUGUUCAAAGUGCGCCGUCGGGGCUGCUAGGUACAAUAGGAAGACUUCAGCCUCACAAGGCUUGCUUCACCGGCCCUAUAUACAUUCAAUGCUUGCCAUUGCUGCUGUUUGUGUUUGUGUAUGCCUAUUCUUAAGAGGAGCUCCAGAUAUAGGUCUAGUUGCCCCAUUCAAGUGGGAAAAUCUAGGAUAUGGGGCAGUGUAGUCCGUUACAACUAUGCAUACACCGUUUCUCGGACCAAGGCCAAUAAUUGUUGUGGAAAUUGAUAAACUGAAAAAAAGUUACAAUUAAAGAAGAGAAAGGAUAAAGCUGAUCAUAAUAUUGUGGCCUGAGGAGGAAUAUGCUAUGCUUCAAAGUAGUAUUAGGCUCAUGCUAAUAAUUUUCAAGCUUUGGUUGGAGAAAACAGAGUUGGGAGUAAUUUUGUGGCAAGGACUGAAUUGAUAUCAUUAUUCUCAAGUAGUGCUGUUCUUUAAGUCUCGAGUGUUGCAUGACAUUGUAAGAUCAUAUGAUAUGGACUGGAGAGGCUGCAUUUGAAGCAAGGAGCAAUAAAGGCUCAACUGGUAUCAGCAGCAGUGUAAGAUAUAGUUUACUGUUCUGUAAAGCCAUUUAGUUUUUCACCUUAAUUUUGUUGUGGGUUUUUUUUCUUUGACUUGUUUAUGUUUUUGAAAAAUCAUGCUGACUAUUAUAUUACUGUAAACUGUAAAGAAUCUACAGGAUCUUAUGAACCUAUAAUAUACUUAGAUAUAAAUAAGCAGCCAACUACUUUUUCCCACCUUUAGUAUAAAUAAAGAAUUACAUUUUCUAUUUACUACAUCAUUGUUUGUUUUUUAUGAUAAUUUGCUACGUCAUUGUUGGACUACACAGAUUUAACAAGUUCUAAUAUUUUUAUACAUUAUAUAAUCUGCUUUGUAAUUAAGCAUUAAGGUUAGGGAGAAACAAAAGUAACGUUGGAGUGCUCUAUUUCAGCUGAUCAAGCAUUAGGUUCUAAAAAUGCAGUAAAUCAGAUAUCAGAGUGCUAGAGGUAUUCCAAACACAAUUUGAGUGCCCUUUCCUGAAGCUGAAAUUUACUCUUCUUACAGGAAAAAGUUUCAGAUGCUUCUGUAAGUUCAGAACUACAGGCAUCAGUAUUUAGAAAUCUGUGGUUUUGGCAUGAUGGCUGCUUGUUAUAUUGUGUAACAGGCAUUAUCAUUGUUAAUAGUUUAUUGUGUUUUAAUUAGUUGCAGCCAGAUCCUUCAUACGAGUUUGUGCUUUUGGUUCAGCAUACAGUUCCACCUGCUGUGAACUUGGGUCUGACCAAUUUCAUUCAGCUACAAAUAUUUUUGUAUGGUCUCGGGUUUUUUUUCGAGGGUUCUAUAUAUUAUCUGGUCUUGUUUGUUUUAAGUUUUCAAAAUUUUCAGAUGUCUUGUCUUCUUGGCAGGGGCGUAGCCUGAAAAUUCAUAAACUGGGGUCAAAAUAUUAUAUUCUCUUCGUUCCGCCAGAUUGUUUACGUACACCGUUUGCAUGCAUUUUGGGCCUCUUGUAAAGCAUAACGUAUUUUUAAUUUUUUCUUUUUUUGAAUAAAAAUUUAAACGUGAAUUUUUUUUUAAAAAAAAAUGUAUUAUGUAAGUAUACUUUAUAAAAACCUUAAAAUGUGUGCUAAAAAUUAAUGUAAAGAACCUCAUGGGACUGAGUAACAUAUGAGCGACGGCAACCAGCAAGAGUAAAUGAGUAAAGUAGCGGAGGUGGAGGCUUGGAGCGGCUGUGAGUACAAAAUAGAUAGAGAGAGUUAUAUUUUAAUAAAUGGGUUAGUGACUAGUGCUUUAGAGGGGACUAGGGUGUAUAUUAUAAAGUGUCAUUGAAGAUUAAGAUUUGCAACUGGGUUUUACUACUUUGCUGUUUUUUUUGUUCAGAGUGAGAACCAGGGUCAAACCAAUUUUUAAUAUGAGUUCAAAAUUUAUUUUAAUAAUAAUUAUAUAGAUAAAGUAAAAUAUUUUAUGGGUUCAAGUGACCCCUCAAGCGUGGCUGUAGCUACGCCCCUGCUUCUUGGUGGUGAAUUUUACUCAUAAAAUAAAUUUAUGCAUGCUAUUAUUGAAGAUGAUAUAAGACCAUUUCAUGAACAAGCAAGCCUCUUCUUGUAUACAAGCUACAGACAUACCUUAGCAGGCUUCUUCUUGUAACUAGCGUUUCGCUUUCAAGUGGUGAAGGUUGAGAUUAUCCUUAAUUUGGUACCUCCGUGCGCAGCUGUCUUGCAACUCCAAAUGCAUGUACAGUAUAGUGUUUUUGUUGCUUGCGUUUUGGCCUUUUGGGAUAAGACUUGAUGAAAAGAGUGUGGAUAUCUUUAGUUGAGCCAAGAUAUAGUCAUGUCGAUUAUGCUGGGGAUUGGGUAAAAUCGAGUGCAGAGAUAAUUUUUGCUAAGCUUGGGUGUCAACAAUCUGUUAUUGUUAUAUCUCUUGCAUGCUCAUGAAUUCAGCAGCAGUUCCCUAAGUUUGCGUGACAGAUAAAUAGAUGUUACACAUGCAUUGUUCAAUUCCAAACACUUUACAUGCAGAGAUUAGCAAUCACAGUAUAAAUGAAUCAAAGAUUAUUUUGUUUCGCAAUCAUUUUAAUCAUUCUUUACUCAGAUUGAACAAAUUUGGUUGCCAAAAUUUAGACACAGGCAACAUGAAAGUUGUAACUGAAUAAUUUGGUCUCGUUCCUGCUUUGCCCCCUGGUGGAAACACGACGGUGUGGAAUGAUUGGAAAAUCAUCGACACCACGUUCUUACUUGAUAGUCUAAGGAUACAAGACAACGCCAAGUUAACUCUUUAAGGAGUCAUUUGUUAAAUCUGGAUAAUAUUUUCUGGAUGAAUGAAAUUCUGAAUGAGUAAAUAUCUGGAUGAUUGUAUUUUUGAAUCAUUUGUUAAAUUAAAUCUGAAUGACUUAAAAUUAUAUAUUAAAUUUAUUUAAUAAUUAUUUUUAUUAGAAAACAAGAUUUAUAAUUGAUAAUUCAUUAAAUUAACAUGAAAAAAAUUUACAAUACAAAUUUCUUAUCAAUUAUCUCUAUAUAAUAAUAAAUGCAUUUCUUUUAAAAUAAUAAUCGAUGUGUUAAUAUAUAAGCCACUAUUUUAUAAGAUUCAAAUCUUGUUAAUUAAAAUUAACUAUUUAUUUUAUUAAUUUUAUAAUCAUAAAUAUAUUAUAAUAUAAGAAGUUAUUAUAUAAAGCAAAUAUAUGUUAAAUUAGCACACAUAUUCAUCAACACACUUACACAAGCAAGGUAUAUGAACCAUCCAGCGAAGUUAUGUAGCCUUUUUCGUCCAGCGAAUUUUCCAGUCGUUCAGUUGAUUUACGACAGCAACAAACAAUCUGAAUAGCUAACCUUUUUCUCGUCCAGCUAUAUCUGUCUCGUUCACUCGUUAACAAAUGAGGCCUAACAGUAAAUUAUUAGAAUAAAAUCUAUGGACUUGCUGAUAAAAAACAAGCAAUAUUUUAAAAAUAGAGUGAAUUGCAGGUUGUGUACCUGAACUAUCACAAGCUUGCACUUUGUGUACCUGAAAUAUACUAUCUAGCAGAUUGUGUACCUGGAAUUUGAAGAUUCUAGCGAUGUGCAUACUUCAACCUUUUAGUUCAAAAACUCAGAAACAGUAUUAGAAUAUAAUGUAAAUCAAAUUUUCAAAGAGGAAGAUAAAACUGGUAUUGAAUCAAGUAUGACUUACUUGGAAGAGUUCUAAAUUAGUACUUAACAAUUGUGGCAGAGUAAAGAUGUGGUGAAGCUUAACUAACCAUUGUUCCUUUGACUUGAGUAGUGACAUGGCCUCUUGAGCGGUUAGCCAUUGGCUUGGAAAGGCCAAAAUCAGCAACUUUUGCGUUCAAGCGUUCAUCUAACAAGAUAUUAUUUGAUUUGAUGUCCCUAUGUAUGAUCGGAGGGUUGGCUAGGUCAUGCAGAUAUUGUAAGCCUUUGGCUGCUCCCAGAGCUACUCGAAGUCGUCUAUGCCAGUCCUACCUGAUCCCAGACUUCCCUUAAAAGUGAAUAAGAUAAUUACGGUAUCAGAACUCGGAUGUAAAUUUGUUAUAACCUAAUCACAGACUUCCCUUAAAAGUCCUGAACUUCUACACAGAUUUCUUGCCGAGCCUGAACUUGAGAAAGAUAUGUAACUAAAUGCUAACUAGCUCUCUAUUUGUAAGCAUCUAGUCCAUCAGUAUAGGAUAUGAGCCCAGAGGAAGGAAUUUGAAGGCACUUAUACAAUAAGGAAUGCAAGUAAAAUAUUUGAUAAGCUCAUGUACCUGAGAGCCUUUCUUUCAGAGUUCCGUUUGCAAUAUACUCAUACACCAGCAUCUACGGCUGUAAAAUGAUCCGAGCGAUACCGGUUACCCUUUGCUCAAGUAUAGGAUCAUAUUAUUUUUAGCUUGUCUAGAUUUGGUUCCGGGAUCAGUUUAUUCGGAAAUAAACCGAUCCCGGAUAUAUGUGAUUCGGAUCUGAACCGAAUAUGAUCCAGUAUCGUAUUUUCUAUUUUUUAACCGGAUAGUUUAUGAUCCAUCGACUAUGAGCCAGAUAUGAUCCACUAACAUUAAAUAUCAUUAUCGUUUCAUUUAUUCAAAUAAUUAUCAUUUAGUCUAAGUAAACAUAAUAUUAUAAAGUAUAAUAAUUUUAAAUUAAAACUUAUAGUUAUAUGUUGAUAUAUAUCAUUUAUUAAAUAUAUAUGAAGAUAAUAAGUAUGAUCACAUGAAAUAAAUCAUAUUUUAUGAAGAUAUAAACUUAAUAAGAUAUUAAAAUUUUAUAAAAUGAUGACUAUUUACUUAUAAAUAUGAUGGAUUUAAAAUAUAAUAUGUAUAUGAGUUCGAAUCGAAUAUGAAUCGUCGAUCAUUUUCGGGUAUUCGGGUAGGAUCCUAUUAUGAAAAAUUAUAUGAGACCGAAUCUGAGCGGGCAUAGGUGUGCUCGUAUCUGGGAUCAUAUAUUAUACAGGCUUAAUUUUUCCGCCAGAUUUGGAUCAUUUUCAAAACGGAUAUGAGACAUGUAUUAUUUUCCAGCCGGAUAUAAGCCAAGACUCCGGAUAGUCCGUAUUUACAGCCCUACAUCUGUUCACCUUGCUCAAAACAAAAACCCAUGAGGCUGAGAGAAGCUCAAUCUCAGUUUUAAACUCAUGGCCGCCUUGCAUAGAUUGUUGAUCUGCUCUUUUAAUUGCAACCAGCAUCCCACCGGGAAGAGAUCCUCUAUAUACCUACAAAUAUCAAGACUAAGAUAGAAUUAUAACAGUAAAUAAAAUUUUCUGGGGAUUUGUUCAAAUCAAGGUCAAUUUAUACAACACAGUUUUAUAUUCAGAAAAUUUAGAAGAUGUAGCAGGUUCUGUUGGUUUUUAAGAUACAAGAGGGAGAUAGAUAUAAGAGCAUCUCCAAAAGGCUCUUUAUUUAGGCUCCUAACUUGAGAUUUGAGGAGGGAGAAGCAAAAUGUUGCUCCAAGAGACUCUUAAGUGGCUCUUAAAUCUUAAGAGCCUCUUGUUUCUCUCUCCUCUCUCCUCAAAGUUAAGAGCCACCACAUGGCUCCUAAGUUAUUAUUUCACCAUAAACAAAUCCGUAUCUCCAAUCAACCUCCAUCUUUCCCUCUCUUUUGUUAUAGUGGAGCCCAAUAUAUGAAUAAAAUAUGAAAUAGAGAAGAGAUGUAGAGAGUAUUGUUGGAGUUUACACUCUUAACUUUGUCCUAAAUUACUAAGAGCCACAUUUUUUAUAUUAUAUUUAGGAGCCAACAAGGAGGCUCUUGGAGAUGCUCUAAUAUAUUAGGUGGAAGCUUAUAGGAGAGACAUGGAAGCUUAUAAUUUUAUUAAUCAAAAAGUUUUUUAUAUAGAGCUCACAAAAAUCACAUUAGCACGAUUAGUGUCACAUAAUAAGUUUAUGGAGUUACAAAUCUUAUCUAAUUAAAGAGGCAUUAAAACAUUAUCAACUAAUUAAUAUUUCAGUUACAAUUUUGAAUCAUAAUUCCAACAGGUUCAAGAGAAUUCACAAAUUAUUCGUUACUUAUGCAUAGGUGCUUGAGGAGUUCGAAAAUUAUCAAAACCUGUUUCAGUAAUUUCAUAGCAAUAUAUUGUAACAUCUCAAUAUAUAUGCAUAGUGAUAAAAGGCAAAUUCAACUGUAAUUGUCUGCCGGCACAGGGCAAGUGGCCUAACUCCGGAAGAACUAUGAAAUAGUCUCUGUCAAAUUACUUACAACCACAGCAGAAUUUGAUAAGAAUAUAGGUAUUAUAUAUUCCAGCUAACCUUCCCAUAACCACCAGAUCCAAUAGCAUUAGCCUCGGAGAAGUUGUUAGUGCAUUUCAUAAGAUCUUCAUAUGAGAAACAUCUUGCUCCUUUCAAUUGAGGACCGCCAGUGCUGCUACUGUUAGAGUCCCAAGAACCUGCAAGCUUUUGAUGUUAAGUCGUAAUUUAGGGCUGAAUUACUACAUUUGCUCAUUUAUGAUCUUAUCAAAAGAAUUGCUUAGUUGAGUAGCUCUUUUAGCUCUUUUCUUUUCACGAAAAGCAUAAAUUCCUGCAAGAAGUAACAGUAGCACCAGUACACAACCACCAGCUGCAGCUCCAAUUGCAAUGCCGGUACUAGAUGACUUGCUUGUCCUCCUGGUUACAUCUGGACAAGUCCAUCACACAUCGCAGAGUCAAAAGAUCCAGUUUAACAUAGUAUGACCAACUUCUUUUAGUGUCUGUGUCAAAACAUUACUUACCUGAGGUAAACAUGCCAUAGUUAUCAGCAUUGAAGUAGUAAGUCCCAUAAACAGUUUUAUUCGGCUUAAAAGUUUGGUUGCUAAACACAAACCCUAAAGAAGAAAUUCCUGUACGGUUAAAGCGAUCUUUCCCUAAUGGGAAAACUUCCAAGGUGAUUACAAGGUAAUCAUCCAGAUUUUUUGUUGGAUCACUCAAGGAAACUGAAUCCACAGGGAGUCUAGUGGACUGAAAAAAUGACAUCAUGGAUGACUGAAGAGAUGUAUAGAAACUUGGAUCUUCUAGGUUGGAGAAGGAAGGAGCUUUAAAAUACAAAUGUCCCUGGUAUGGAUAUGCACAUAUACAGUUAGGGCUGGAUCUUUGAUCUGAACUACACAGAGCAGGCACACAGUUAUUUGUCUCCGUUGAAUAGGACGAAGAGUUAGACUGCUGAGGUAGGGUACAGUAUUUUUCAGUCCCUCCACUCUCACAAUAAGGGUUGCCGAUAAGUCUACAAAAGAGAAGCACAAGUUACAACAAUGUUAUAACAAAUUUAAUGAUAAAAAUGCUAAACUAGGAUUUACCAAAAAAGCCCUGCAAAAUUGGCCUAGAAUAAGAUCAAAUGGCCUACAUUAUCUCAGAAUUGUCUCCGGCUCGUUGCACUGGGGCUGAUAUGUUAUUGCUCUGCAAAUCUACAAGCUGGAGUUGGUUGCUGAAGCUAGAUCCGACGUCAAUGGUUCCAUUAAGAUGGUUAUUUCUUAGUAUUCUGUUACAAAAAAAAAAAGAGAGAAAAGAAAGAGCAGUUUGUUAUCCGUAAUUCAUGUAUGUUUGUUUAACAAUAAAUAGAGAUAUUCCAAUAUAUAUAAUACAUGAAUACAUAGAGGAGUUUUUUCACGUACACAGUUUGUAAUUGAGUAAUACUGAAGAGUUGCAGUGGCACUUCUCCUUGAAUAUUUGUGUUGUCCAUCACUCUGUCGUUGCAAGUUUAUGUCAGAUCCUAAACACAAAGUCAAUUAAUAAUACCAUGGCUACUCCAAAGCUAACUUCAUAGAAAUAUAAAGAUUGAAGUAGCAUUACCAAAUGAUGAAAUUAUUAUAUACAUUGGCAUUAGUUUUUUUUUUUUUUGCCGGAAGAAAUAGAAUUCAUUAAUUCCUCAAAUCGUUCUUCAGUACAUGAAGGAACUCUGAAUGAGCAUUACUCAUCCACCACCUACGAUCAGCAAUAGAACUACUAUACCUCGCUAAAUAGUGAGCUACGUGGUUCGCAAACCGCUUAACAAAUUUUAAGAAAACUCCUCUGUUUUUCAACUCCGAAAGCAGAUUUUUGCAUUCUGCUAUAAGCCUACCGAAAUAUGACAUGAGAAGGGAAGAGCUUCUUAUUGCCUGUAUUGCAACCAGGCAAUCUGAUUCGAUCGUCACAUCACACAUAUGCUGCUCUUUUAUCCAACUCAGGGCCUCCCUAAUCCCCAUCGCUUCUGCACUUUCAGGAGUCAUACUACCUUGUUUACAACUUGAGCGUGCUUCAAUCAGAUCUCCUGCAUGGUUUCUGGCAACGAAAGCAAAACUGUAGCAGUUGGAGGAUUGAAAAAUCGCAGCAUCAGUGUUCACCUUAGACUUAUUUUCAGAUGGAAGGGACCAGUGCUCUUCGCCAUCCUCCUUGGUCAUGAAACCUAAGAAGUUGUCGAACUGUUUGUCUUGAGCAGAUUGCCAUUGUCUAAGGACCAUAUUUGCCGAUUCUACGACGUCAACUAUCUCCGUACCGCGUUGGUUCCACACUAACUCGUUUCGUGCCUUCCAUAUUGACCAGCACAACAUAGCAUUUUUCUGGCGCUUUGCAACAUCCCAGCUAUCAAAGUUGUUUAGAACCCAAUCUGAGAAAGAGUCCCCUUCAUUAUUUCCUGGAAGGCCACCGAUUCUAUCCCAACAUGAUUUAGCAAAUGAGCAGUGGAGGAGCACAUGACUAGUGGAUUCUGGGUCUGAGUUGCAAAGAGGACACAAAAUAUUUACCUCCACCCGUUUUGUACGAAGCAUUACUUUAGUGGGAAGGCAGUCAGUUGCAGCUCUCCACAUAAAAUGCUUGACUUUUGGAGGCACUUUCAUCGUCUAAAGAUUCUUCCAGAAGCAUGGAUUUACUGAUGAAUUUUGGCCUGGCUUGCUAUCCUGGAUCCUCCUGUAUGCUGUUUUCACUGAGUAACCACCACACUUUGCGUACUUCCAAUACCAACUAUCUGGAGAAUUAUUCUGCAGAGGGAUAGAUAAGAUAAGGUUAAUGUCCCUUUCAUCAAAGAUAUCUUCGAGGAGAUCUUCAUCCCAUUUGUUUUCUCCCGAGACCAUUACAGAAGAUACUUUUGCAUUUUGUAUGGCCGGAUGUAUUGUUUGAAUGAAAGGGUUUUCGACAUCUGGAAGCCAUGGAUCUUCGGUAAUGCUUAUAAGAUCACCCGUACCCAGACGACAGGCCAUCCCUUGUUUAAGCAUCUGUUGAGCCUCUAAAAUGCUUCUCCAAAUAUAGCUGGGACUUCCACCAAUCUUAGCUGAUAAAAAGUUACUUUGUGGAUAGUAACGAGCUUUAUAGAUCCUUGCAACUAAGCUGUGAGGGUUUGUCAUAAGUCUCCAACCCUAUUUGCCCAAUAAAGACACAUUAAAAUCAUGCAAAUUAAAUGGCGAAAUCCCAGACCUCCGUACAUAUUUGAUUUGCACAGUUUGUCCCAGCUUAUCCAGUGAAUACCUUUUGACUUCUUCGGAUUUGUUUUCCACCAAAACUUGCACAUCAUUUGUUCCAUGUCCCUACACAUCUCGAGCGGAAGAAGGAAAACGCUCAUAGCGUAGUUUGGCAUCGCUUGAGCCACUGUUUUUAUUAAAAUUUCCUUACCUCCUUUAUUUAACAGCUUCCCAUCCCACGGCUGAACCCUUUGUUGAACUUUUUCUUUCAAGUAACCCAACAGAGCUGAUUUCUUUCUACCCAGGCUGUUAGGAAGACCUAAGUAAUGACUGGAAUCAUCAGCCUCAUGGAACUUAAGGAUAUCCAAAACCUCCUUUUUUGUGUCUGCAACGACAUUACGACUGAAAAAUACGCAAAAAUACGCUCGAUUUCUCGACAUUAAGCUUUUGACCAGAUGCAGUUUCACAUGUGCUUAAGAUAUUCAUUACAUGUUCAGCGUCUUCCUUAGUAGCUUUACAGAAGAUGUAACUGUCGUCGGCGAAGAACAUGUGGGUUACAGUAGGGGCACCUCUGGCUACCUUUAUACCCGUAAUCAAACCUUUCCUUUCAUAUUCCUUUAUUAUAGAAGUUAGGCCUUCCAUACAAACUAGUAACAAGUAAGAUGACAGCGGAUCGCCCUGUCGAAGGCCUCUUUCAGGAAUAAUAUCUCCAAAUUCUCUUCCUGCGUGAGUUAUUUUGUAUCUAGCAGACGUCACACAACUCAUUAGAAUAUUCACCAUCGUCACAUUGAAUCCCAUUUUCGAUAAAGUUGCCCUUAAAUAGGAUCAUUCUACGCGAUCAUAGGCCUUGCUCAUGCAUGUCAAGCUUAAGAGCCAUCCAACCCGUUUUGCCUUGAGUCUUUCUCUUCAUGUAGUGCAUGAUUUCAAAUGAUAUCAUGAUGUUUUCAGAGAUUAAACGCCCUGGGAUGAAAGCACUUUGAGUUUCCGAGAUUACCUUGUCAAUCACUUCUUUCAGUCUAUUUGCCAUGACCUUGGCCGCAAUUUUAUAUACAACAUUGCAAAGAGAGAUGGGUCUGAGGUCUGUCAUGAAUUGAGGGUUCUUCUUCUUCGGUACAAGAACUAUAUUUGUAUCUGUGAGGAUUAUAAACCCACUUGCAUCUUCAGCUGUUUGUGAAACAAGGGAUAUAUUUACUCUUUACAAUUUAAUUAUAAAAGAAUUUAUGCGUCAGGUCCUACGUUCUAAGGACGACAUCAAAUUUUCAUACGAAAACAAAGGGCUAUACAUAUAACAAACCCAAUCAAAUUACUAUGAUUAAUAAAGUAAAACUCUUAUGAAAAGUGGAUUCCACACUCAUGCACGCAGCAAUGGAACUUAAAAACUAAAACCUUAACUUUUCGUUUAAUUUCACGUAGAAAAUGUGCUUUUGUGCAGCACUGAUGCCACAAAGACUUACUUCAACAUAGAUUACGCACCACUUCAAUCCCUCCGACAAGUUAUAUCAGAGGCAAAUGCCAACCAGGGAAAAGGAAUUCCAAGACCAAUGCCAAUUCAUUUUGUACUGUCGGAAAACACAACUGCUGGUGAGUCAAAUAUUAGGGACAUACUGGAAGCUAAACUGUCAGCUGCCACCGCGUAAGAGUGCCCUGAACACAUAAUCUACACUUCCUCAAAAAACACCCACUUCGUCUAAUAUUUUUACUACCACAAAGCUCAACACAAGCUCACCUUGGAUUAGUUUUUAUACACAGUGCCAUGCAUUUGGGAAUGCCACAAAACUAACAGCAUUUAAAAGUUGACAACCAAACAAUCACACCACAUCUCUUUAUUAGCCAAACACUUAACGAUGCAAAAAAAAAAAAAAAAAAACCUCAAACUUAAAUUGUAGGUUCUACGCCGGACAUGCGAGGCCACAAUAGUGGCGGUUGUGGAAGGCGAGGGAUGGUACUACAAUUGCUGCCCACGAUGCGCACGCAAAGUGCAGACUACUACUGAGGGGAAUUAUUACUGCACAUUCUGCUCUAAGGAGGCCCAAGAUUUCAAGUUACGGUACUUGACUUGCAAUCAUCCUUUAACAUUAAUAUCAACUAUAUUUGCAUUCACAGUACCAUCAAAAAUAAGGAAAACUCAUCAACUUAAUACAGGUUCAGGCUUACCGUCCGAGUGGAAGACUCGAAUGCCCAAACAACUUUCACCCUCAAUAAAGAGGCCGAACAGAUCGUCGGCAUACCAGUGGACAAAAUUAUCGACGAGUUUCCAGAGGUGACCCAAAAUUUAAAAACAAGCGCAUUCAUAUGAGCCAUAUAAUUUCAAGACCGCUAACUCUGGUACUGUUUGCAGGGCACAAACAUUGCAGAAAUACCCCUGUCAUUAAGAACAUAAUUGGAAAGCGUUGCGUGUUUGAUGUCAAGAUUAAUGAAUAUAACACUGUCCGCGGUUACAAAGAUUAUACCGUGUAUCGGCAUAAACUCAACAGCCAGACGGAACAGCCCUCGACCAGCAACAAAGACAACCCAAACAACUCAAAGAAACAGAGGGUGAAUUGAGGAAGUCCAAAAACAAGCUACAUCCAGCACUACAAACAAAGAUAGCAUCAUCAACUUAGUUAUUCCGCACAAUCUUUAGCAGCAUUACACUAUGCACUAGACCAUCUACUAUAAAUGCAUCAGAAUCUUUGAACACAUGCACGUAUUCCAUAUGCAUUACUAACCUUCUUCGUAAGAGCAUCUCCAAUGUGAGGUGCCAACCAAAGUUGCUAAACAUGCUUAUUCAUCAAAAAUAUCAAUAUUUUAUUUUCUCUUUCUUUUAAGUUACUUUUGGCACCCCUCUUAUCAAUAUUCACUCAAAUGGUUGGCAAUUAAAGUUGUCAAAAUACUAUAAUUUUGUUUAUCUAAAAUUAGAUAGGAUAUUAUAGGCUUUUAUGACAAUAAAUGAAUUUUUUCCAUUUUGAGAGAGUGCCAAAGGGUGCCAAAAAUUGGCAACUUUGCUUGGCACCCCUAUCACUCCAAUGGGUAGCCAAAAAGAUUGUUAUGCCAUGUCAUGCCACAUGACAUUUUGGCACCUCUUUUAGCACCCCCAUUGGAGAUGCUCUAAUACUAUCCAUCUGAAUUCCGAUAUGUUUUAAAAUUAUUUCAAAAUUCUGUCAACAAUAUUUUAAAUCAUUAUUAUUGAUAAAUUUGCAAUAUUAAUUUUUCCCAAGUUCAAUAAAAGAGGUAUAUUAACUAAUAUAUGUUACUAUAAUUAUCUAAACGAAUUUAUUAUUUGAAAAUAUGUUAUUUCAAACUAAUUUAUUAUAAUGAAAGACAUCCAUUUCGAAGAAUACUAAAUUAAAACAAAAAAUAUUAAAACAGAUCACCAUAUUAAUUAUUAUGUAUGAAAUAUUACCAAAAACAAUAUCUUAUCUAUAUAAAAUAUAAUUUAUAGUGGUCGUCUCAAUAAAUACUAAUCGCAUUACUUCCCUAAAUAUUUUAUAAGAUGUACAUCUCUUCCAAAAAUUAAUCACUGAAAAAAAAAUACGUAAUCUAUCUUCAAAAAAGAUACAAAAAUUUAAAAAAAAAUUAAAUAAAUUUAUUUUAUAGACUUCUCUUUUUUAAAUAGUAAUAUAAGAUAGAAUAUAUAAUGCAGAUUAUGAUAGUGUUGUAAAUAGCAAACAUUCUAAAAAUAAAAUAACAUUGAACAGACUCCACAAUUCGUUACACAACCAUCUCAACAUAUUGCCAACAUAUUGCCCAAACAAAUGAGGCUUACUACUAUUUUCCUAAUUGUAAGGCCAUCGUACACCUCUCGCAUCUGGAGUUCUUCUCAUAGUUGUGUAUUCCUCGGUCGCAUUUUAGUUGUCCAUUUGAUUUUAUGCCGAUCGAAUUGAUCAAAGUUUGACUGCAAUUUAUUAAUAAUUUAUCAAUUUAAAAAAUAAAAAAAAAUUUGCCAUCAGAAAUAAUCUUUAAUCGACUUUAAGAUGUAAUUUUCAGUUUUUUUUAAAAUAAUGAAAGAGUAAUUCAAUUUGACAAACAAAAAUAAAAAUGUGACAACUAAAAAAGGACGGAGGGAGUACAAAUUUUCAUUUAAUUUAAUGGGAACCAACUCAGGCAGACACAAGUGUGCUGAGAGCAAGUCGUAUAGGUUACCUAAACUUUCUCCUAAACUCACAUUUAGAUAAUGUACUAAAAAAAAGUACUCCAACACUCUCUUAAUGGUUACAUAAAUCACUAGUAUAACCUCAAAUCUCCUAGCCAUUACCUAUUUAUAAGUAUCCCGUGGCCAUUACCUAUUUAAUAUUUAUGAAUAAAGUAAUCAUCUCUCUCCUUUUUUCUUUGUCUUUUUUUUCUCUCUCUCAUUCUCUCUGUCAAAUUUGUUAUUAAAAUAAUUUUAAGAGAACAAAUAUAGAGAUUGCUUUUGGAGUUGACACUAAAAAUAAAUUUAUCUAAAUACUCGUCAAGAUUCAUUAUUUUAUAUUAUUGAUAAGUAAUUAUAUAGGUAUUCAACUUUGAAGUCUACAUUCAUUCACUCACAUGGAUAAAUUAAUUUUUGCCCCUCAAACUCUUCCUAAUUUACACUUUUAGCCAACCUCACCCUGAACAAACGAGUACACAUCUAAAAUAUUAAAAUGAAAAAGUAAAACAGACAAAGUACACACACACACAAAUAUAUAUCAUAUUAUCAUCAAGUUUUCUCUUUUUUCUUCAAGUUCAACCCCUUUUAAUCUUCUCAGAUCCAUAUUCUUAUUUUUAUCAUUAAUUUUUACAAAUCUCCUGGUAGGUUUGAAUCCAUGGUUCUUGUCUGAAAAUCUACUUGUGUUCUGCUUAGGUUGUUUAUUGAACAAGUCUAACCUUUGUCAAACUAAAAGAAGAGCUGCACUUUUCAUGUCUUUACUUGGUUUUAUUAUGUAAAUGAUCAGUUGCUGAAGAUGAGUUCCAAGUAAACAAACAAAGGUAUGAUCUUUAUGUUUCUAUUGUUUGUAUAAGUUGAAUUUUAUUAGUUUAGCUUUAAUCUUUAUGUUUCUAUUGUUUGCAUAAGUUGAAUUUUAUUAUUUUAGCUUUAAAUAUGAUUUGUGUAACUGAUAGAUCUUUGCUUUGAAAUUUUGUUGAUAAUUUCAUGUUCUAAAGGAUUUUUGGUUUUUAUUACGCUAGAUCUUGUUAAAAGUUUGAAUCUUGAUUAAUUUUUGUUUUGUUUUUUAUAUAUGAGAUGAUGGGUUGUGAGUUUGGUAUUGUUUGUUAUUAAAGUUUGUGUCUUUUUGAUAUGUAUGUGCUGUAUUGAUAGGUUUGUGUGGUCAGAAAUAUAAGGGGGGUGUAUCAAGAUUAUGGAAGAGGUGGGUACUCAAGUUGCUUCUUCUCAUUAUAUUCACCAAUCACUUUCCAAGCAUUUUCUUGACUCACAACACCACCCCAUGGCUGCGGCUAAGAAGCGUAGUAUGCCUUUCCAUCCCCUCGGUUUUCACCUACCACAGUCGCAACAGCAGCAGCCUAUGUUUGGUUCUGGAUUUCAACAAAGCAGGGGUCAGUGGCACCCUAAUGGUUGGGAUUGGGACAGUGCAAAAUUUCUUGCAAAGCCAGUGGAAUCGGAUGUUAUCCGCGGGGGACCUUCGACAAUGUCUGUGCAAUCUGUAAUGCAGAGAGGUCACGGUGAUGAGAUAAUUGCAGCGAAUUCUGUGGAUUUGAGGGGAAAUCAUGUAGUGGAAGAUGAUGAGAAUCUACUUUUAAAGCUCGGGGGAAGCCGUGUUAAUUCUGCGGAGGAGAAUGUUUUGAGGCCUAACAAGAAAGUCAGAUCUGGAUCUCCUGCUGGUGGGAACUAUCCUAAAUGUCAAGUUGAUGACUGUAAGGAGGAUCUUUCAACUGCUAAAGACUAUCACAGGCGGCAUAAGGUGUGUGAAGUCCACAGUAAAGCUACCAAGGCUAUUGUGGGAAAGCAGAUGCAGCGGUUUUGUCAGCAGUGUAGCAGGUUUGUGGCUUUGUUUCUCGACUUAAACAUUUCAUGUUAAAUUAGUUUGUGCUAUUAGGACAUGUUCCACUUCGUGUGUAAUGGAAUCUUUUUCUCAUGGUGUGAAUUGAGAGGGGCUUACCGUUCUUUGUUGUUACUAAGCAAAUUUUGUUUAUGCAUUUUUUUUGCAGGUUUCACCCUCUUUCAGAGUUUGACGAGGGAAAGCGAAGUUGUAGGCGGAGGCUAGCAGGGCAUAAUCGGCGAAGGAGGAAAACUCAACCAGAUGAUGUUACCUCCAAGUUGUUACCUCCCACUAACCGUGAGAAUGUUAGUAACGGAGAUGUGGAUCUUGUCAAUAUUUUAGCAAUUCUAGCUCGUGCACAAGGUACAUUUUUCUGUGUUGCUUUGUUUGAAUCCCCAGUUUGUUGUUUGCACAUCUGUACCGAGCAUAAAAGCCUAAUACUAAUAUAUGCAAAUUACUAGGGAAUACUGAAGAUGGCAGCAUUAAUGGCUCAUCGAUUCCCAAUAAAGAUCAGCUUAUUCAAAUCCUUCAAAAGAUUAACGCGUUACCUUUGCCAGCGGAUUUUUCUGCAAAGUUUCCUCCUUCAGGAGUCACUAGUAACAUUGCUCCGUUUCAGUCAGAGAGCGAAAAUAAACUGAAUGGAAAUAAUUCUCACUCGUCAACUCUGGACUUGCUCGCUGUUCUUUCAGGAAAUCAAGCAGGAUCCUCUCCUGAUGCCACUGCAGUUCCUUCCCGAAGAAGCAGUCAUGGGAGCGACAGUGAAAAGACUAGGUCUCCAUGUACCAAUAUGCAAACCAGACACCAGAAUGAGUUUGCUUCAGUUGGAGAAAGAAGUAGUACUAGUUAUCAGUCUCCUACAGAAUGUUCAGAUGGCCAAGUGCAGGAAAUUCGUACUAAUUUACCGUUGCAGCUUUUCAGUUCCUCUCCUGAAAGUGACAGCCCACCGAAAUUGGCAUCAAGCACGAAAUACUUCUCAUCAGGUAGCAGUAACCCUAUGGAAGAAAGGUCACCUUCAUCUUCUCCGCCUUUUGUGCAAAAGUUGUUUCCCACAGUUUUCUCAAGAGAAGCAGUAAAUCCCAAGAGAUUGUUAAAUAGACUUGAGUUUAAUGGGAGUUCUAAAGCUGGUAAGGAUAAAGGCUGCUCCACGUCUCUUGAUCUUUUUGGAGGGAUGAAUAAAUGUGUUGACGAUAGUUCUGUUCAAAGUUUUCCAUACCAGGCAGGGUACACAUCCUCUUCUGGAUCGGAUCAUUCACCUUCAAGUUUAAAUUCGG
rnacentral:lncRNA from 1 species